rnacentral:rRNA from 1 species
UACAGAGGGGGCAAGCGUUGUUCGGAUUCAUUGGGCGUAAAGGGUGCGUAGGCGGCGCGGUAAGUCGGGUGUGAAAUCUCGGGGCUUAACUCCGAAACUGCAUUCGAUACUGCCGUGCUUGAGGACUGGAGAGGAGACUGGAAUUUACGGUGUAGCGGUGAAAUGCGUAGAUAUCGUAAGGAAGACCAGUGGCGAAGGCGGGUCUCUGGACAGUUCCUGACGCUGAGGCACGAAGGUCAGGGGAGCAAACGGG